UACGAAGGGGCUAGCGUUGCUCGGAAUUACUGGGCGUAAAGGGUGCGUAGGUGGUUUCUUAAGUCAGAGGUGAAAGGCUACGGCUCAACCGUAGUAAGCCUUUGAAACUGGGAAACUUGAGUGCAGGAGAGGAGAGUGGAAUUCCUAGUGUAGCGGUGAAAUGCGUAGAUAUUAGGAGGAACACCAGUUGCGAAGGCGGCUCUCUGGACUGUAACUGACACUGAGGCACGAAAGCGUGGGGAGCAAACAGGAUUAGAUACCCGGGUAGUCCCUGAGCGGG
rnacentral:rRNA from 1 species